GAAGUCUAAGUGAAAUGGAUUUCAGUGGUGAAUCCAAAUGAGCUGAGAACAGAGUCCGCUUGCAUGGUUAUGUUGGUCCAGAACGGUAAUGAAGCGCGGGCAUCAGGCAUGGUAGCUUGUUGGUUGCUGCUGUUAGGAGUGUGCAGGCAAGGGGUGAAAUAUCUAAAGUGCCCAAUAUUUGUCAAGGUUACUACUCAAUUUAAGACAGAUUUCCACCUGAAUAUAUGAUGGUGGUGCGCAUCCAUGUCUUUUUUUUUUUUUUCCUCUCUCUUUUGUGUGAAGUCCAUAUCUAUUUCAAUGGAUGCCACUAUCUGGAGGUGUGCAUGAUAUACCCACAUGCCUGCCUCCUCUAAAGUAUAGUAGCUUGCUGGCUUCAACUCCGAGUAGCUAAUGCCACAAGUCUACAAGAAAACCCCAGUGGGCUCUCCAUGAUUCGGAGGAGUGGGUACUUUCUAGCUUCAUGUGGCUUAGAGUUGUUCCUGGAAAACCAUAUUUGUAAACCACGAUGAGAAGACCCUGUAUUUUGGAUAAAAUGUGGGGCAAAUUAUAUACCCCAGCUAUCAAGGUGUCUCAAAAUUAGGUCCCUAGGCUUACCUUUACUUCUUAUUCUACAGCUUGAGCCAGUGGCCAUGUGAUCCCAUGUGCAAUGAGCUUGUUGUGUUUCUAGCGUUUGGUUUGGUCCUUUUCAAAAACACUCUAUCCACAAGGGAAUGAAAAGAAAGAAGACAAGGGGGAUGCACUAAGUUGUCUGUUGAGCAUUUUUCAUCAAAGAAAGUUGGAUGUCAAACAUAUCUACCAGCUACUCAUUAUUCUAUUCAUGGGGAUUUUGAGGGCAUCAAUAGAUUCUAAGAGAUUACAUCUUUUUGUGGAUUCUUUACAUGAAGCUUGAAUAUUAAUCAGUUAAUGUUACUGGUAAUUGGGUGAAGAAAUCUGCACCCAGCAAUACGCGCAGAGCUUGAAGAGCAAAUCAGCAGUGAAGAAUACUUUGGUAGAGAAAAUCUUCUGUUAUGAUUUGAUGCAUCUCCAUACCAAUAUCCAAGAUUUUUGAAAAUGAUUAGCACAGCUUAA